rnacentral:tRNA from 1 species
GGUGGCUCAGUGUUAGAGCGCUUGCCUUGCAUGCAAGAGGACCUGGGUUCAAUUCCUCAGCACCA